rnacentral:rRNA from 1 species
GAAUUUUUGGCAAUGGGGGCAACCCUGACCAAGCAACGCCGCGUGGGUGAUGAAGUCUCUUGGGACGUAAAACCCUUUCGACGGGGACGAAGCCGCAAGGUUGACGGUACCCGUCGAAGAAGCCCCGGCUAACUCCGUGCCAGCAGCCGCGGUAAUACGGGGGGGCCAAGCGUUGUUCGGAAUUACUGGGCGUAAAGGGCGCGUAGGCGGUUUGCUAAGUUGGAUGUGAAAACUCUGGGCUUAACCCAGAGCCUGCAUCCAAAACUAGCAGGCUGGAGCUCUGGAGGGGAUAGCGGAAUUCCUGGUGUAGCGGUGAAAUGCGUAGAUAUCAGGAGGAACACCGGUGGCGAAGGCGGCUAUCUGGACAGAAACUGACGCUGAGGCGCGAAAGCUAGGGGAGCAAACAGG